rnacentral:rRNA from 1 species
UACGUAGGGUGCGAGCGUUAAUCGGAAUUACUGGGCGUAAAGAGUGCGUAGGCGGUCCCGCAAGUCCGCUGUGAAAGCCCCGGGCUUAACCUGGGAAUGGCAGUGGAAACUAUGGGACUUGAAUCUGGCAGAGGGGGGUGGAAUGCCGCGUGUAGCAGUGAAAUGCGUAGAGAUGUGGCGGAACACCGAUGGCGAAGGCAGCCCCCUGGGCUGAGAUUGACGCUCAGGCACGAAAGCGUGGGGAGCAAACAGG